rnacentral:tRNA from 1 species
AAAGAUUUAGUUAAUCAUAAUAUAAAUUUGUCAAAUUUAAGUUAUUCUAUAGGAAUAAUCUUUA